rnacentral:misc_RNA from 1 species
UGAAGCUCAUGGAAGUAACUGAAUUAUGUUAACAACUCUUUCGAACAUUAAUUUAUAGCAUCUGCUUGCUGGAAGUGUUAAUUUUAGUAGGUGGUAAGUUUUUAUGUUUAUAACUGCCAACUGAAUUGAUAACGGUAGCCUCUCAAGUACAAAAAUUGCAUCUUUAUUCAAUAUAAGAGGAUACGGUAUUAGCUUUUGCUACUUUGAAGGCUAAAAAUUUUUGCUUUGAGCCUGUUUAUAUAGGACGUGUUUUUUGGUUGGAGGUAAAGAGCUGACUACUGCUUUUUGGCAAUCGACGCUAACUGCGAUUCUCCAGACAUCUGCAAUUGUAUCCGUUUAUGCAAUGAAGACAAUAUCUUGAGUGCUCCAGUGUGAAUUUUUUAUUUUUUUUGUUACAAAAUUUGAGCGAGAACAUUUGUGUUUCCUCAUUCACUGUUGAAGUGUAUUGGGUUUGAUGUGGAUUCAUAAAAAAAAUUGAAUGCCAUCCUAUGGUUCAGUUCAGUAUUCCAAAACUUUCAACAGCUCCUUGUAAUGAUCAUGCUCUGUUGGUCUAGAGCUUCUUCAGUAAUUGCCAUUGCUUUGUUGUUAGUUUUGCAUGCUUCUUUAUGGUCAUGAUUCCGGAGUGUUGUUGCCGCAUUAUUGGAAUAGUUAUUGGAAUAAUUAUUUGGGUCUUGACUUAUUCUUUAUACAAUGUGACUUGGCAGUAGAAGAGCUUGUUGAGGAUGG